UUUCUAAAAGAUGUUAUGAUAAAAAACAUUUUUAAUAUAUGGUACAUACUUGGAAUUUUAAAAGAUAAAUUGUUCCGUAGUUCUUACCUUUGGUAUAAUGGCUGUACAAAAAUUAAGAUUGAAUUAUAAUUCCCGAACUAAGAAGAACUAUUUGAUAACUUGUUUUAGCAUAUAAAAGUUAUGUGGAAAUAUGGCUUAUAGAUUAUCAAAUAGGAGCGAAAAACUUUCAAUUCUUAAGAUAUCUGGAAAUUUCAGAAAAGCAUGUAGUGCUGAAAAGUUAGACAUAAAGCUAUGAGGUUUUUUGUAAACAAAAACUUAAAUAAUUUUUUUCAAUUCUUUAUAAUUAAUCUUAAAGAGAUUUUAUUAUUUAAAAUUAUUAUUUUUUUUAGUAUUUUGUAUAUUAUGAAAUUAGUCCAAAUUAUUUAUUUCUGGAGAAAAUAAUGUAUAGAUGAGUAGUAAAUUAAGGUAUUUUUUCUAAGCUUAUAGAAAGAUCUUAAGUGUUUUCUUUAAAUUAGUUAAAAGGAACUCGGCAAAUAUAAGCUUCGACUGUUUAACAAAAACAUAGCCUUUGGAGAGGGAUUAAAGGUUAUACCUGCCCAAUGUCAUAAUCAAUGGCCGCGGUACUUUGACCGUGCUAAGGUAGCACAAUCAAUUGGCCCUUAAUUAGGGUCAGGUAUGAAUGGAGUUACGGGGCUUAGCUGUCUCUAAACUAUUUAAUUGAAGUUGCUGUAUAGGUGAAAAAGCCUAUAUUAAGAAAAAAGACGAGAAGACCCUUAGAGUUUUACUUAAGAAAGAAUUAUCUCUUUACUAGUUUUGUUGGGGCAACAUAGGAGAAGAAUCAAACCUCCUAAAGCAUAUAAACCGAUGUUUUUAAAUAUGAAUAAACUACCUUAGGGAUAACAGCAUAAUUUUAAAAAUAAGUUUGUGACCUCGAUGUUGGACUAGGAAACUUAAGGGCUAGCCGCCCUUUGGUAAGGUUCUGUUCGAACUAUAAUUCCUACAUGAUCUGAGUUCAGACCGGCGUGAGCCAGGUCAGAUUCUAUCUUUUUACUUAAAAAUUUAGUACGAAAGGACCAGUUUUUAAUAUGCUUUAUAUAA
rnacentral:rRNA from 1 species